rnacentral:rRNA from 1 species
GACGAACGCUGGCGGCGUGCUUAACACAUGCAAGUCGAACGAGAGCGUAGAGAAAGCUUGCUUUUUCUACAAUCUAGUGGCAAACGGGUGAGUAACGCGUAAACAACCUGCCCUACGGAUGGGGACAACAGCUGGAAACGGCUGCUAAUACCGAAUACGUUCCGAAAGUCGCAUGACUAUCGGAAGAAAGGAUGGCCUCUAUUUAUAAGCUAUCGCCGGAGGAGGGGUUUGCGUCUGAUUAGCUAGUUGGGGGGGUAACGGCCCACCAAGGCGACGAUCAGUAGCCGGUCUGGGAGGAUGAACGGCCACAUUGGAACUGAGACACGGUCCAGACUCCUACGGGAGGCAGCAGGGGGGAAUCUUCCGCAAUGGGCGAAAGCCUGACGGAGCAACGCCGCGGGAGUGAAGACGGCCUUCGGGUUGUAAAGCUCUGUUAUACGGGACGAAUAAUCUUGUGGUUAAUACCCAUGAGAAGUGACGGUACCGUAAGAGAAAGCCACGGCUAACUACGUG